UUGCGUUAAGGAUUGACGUGGAAAGCCCGGAGCACGUGUUGGCUGUGCGGGCAUUGGCCUGCGAGGACUUGAAACAGAAAGCCUGACCGCCG
rnacentral:misc_RNA from 1 species